rnacentral:rRNA from 1 species
GCCAGCAGCCAUAUCACCCUGCAGCUCCCAACUUGGCUCCCACUGAAGCUAAGCAGGGUAGAGCCUGGUCAGUACCUGGUUGGGAGACCUCCUGGGAAGCUAUGGUUGCUGCUGGAA